GAUGAACGCUAGCGGCAGGCUUAACACAUGCAAGUCGAGGGGCAGCACGAUGUAGCAAUACAUUGGUGGCGACCGGCGCACGGGUGCGUAACACGUAUGGAAUCUGCCCUUUACUGGAGGAUAGCCCGGAGAAAUCCGGAUUAAUACUCCAUAACUGUCGAGGUGGCAUCACCUUGAUCUGAAAGCUCCGGCGGUAAAGGAUGACCAUGCGCACGAUUAGCUAGUUGGUGAGGUAAUGGCUCACCAAGGCUACGAUCGGUUAGGGGCCUGA
rnacentral:rRNA from 1 species